CUGAGUAGUGACUGUGUAUAUGAAGUUUACUGUGUAUAUGAAGGUUACUGUGUAUAAGAUGUCGGUAAUUAGAAGAAAACCCUAAUUACUGUUGUUUGUCGAUAAUUAGGACAAACCCUAAUUAUUACAACCCUAAUCGGUUGAAGUUAGAGAUUGUAAUGACUGUGUUAGAACAUACACAGAUAAUUAGAGAAUCCUAAUGGUCAAUUAGAAACCCUAAUUGAUGGCGUUAAGAAACCCUAAUUAGAAAACCCUAAUUUUUCAAUCAAAACCCUAAUUUAAAAUUAUUGGGUUUAAUUACGAUGUUAUUGUAUAAAUGUUUUAAUUUACCAAAGGAUAGAAAGUAAUUGGUAAAUGAUAAGAAUUACCAUCUAGUGAUUAAAUACUACAUUUAAUUGCUAUGUACAAAAAUGCCCAUGAAAUUAUAUGCGAAAUUACC
rnacentral:lncRNA from 1 species